GACGAACGCUGGCGGCGUGCUUAACACAUGCAAGUCGAACGGAAAGGCCCUGCUUUUGUGGUGUGCUCGAGUGGCGAACGGGUGAGUAACACGUGAGUAACCUGCCCUUGACUUUGGUAUAACUUCAGGAAACUGGGGCUAAUACCGGAUAGGAGCUCCUGCUGCAUGGUGGGGGUCGGAAAGUUUCGGCGGUUGGGGAUGGACGCGCGGCUUAUCUGCUUGUGGGUGGGGGAGUGGCUUACCAAGGCUGUGGCGGGUAGCCGGCCUGAGAGGGUGACCGGACACAUUGGGACUGAGAUACGGCCCAGACUCAUGCGGGGGGCAGCAGUGGAGAAUAUUGCACUAUGGGCGGAAGCCUGAUGCAGCAACGCCGCGUGCGGGAUGACGGCCUUCGGGUUAUAAACCGCUUUCGCCUGUGACGAAGCGUGAGUGACGGUAAUGGGUAAAGAAGCACCGGCUAACUACGUG
rnacentral:rRNA from 1 species